CAGCAGCCACGGUAAUACGUAGGUGGCAAGCGUUGUCCGGAAUUAUUGGGCGUAAAGGGCUCGCAGGCGGUUUCUUAAGUCUGAUGUGAAAGCCCCCGGCUCAACCGGGGAGGGUCAUUGGAAACUGGAAACUUGAGUGCAGAAGAGGAGAGUGGAAUUCCACGUGUAGCGGUGAAAUGCGUAGAGAUGUGGAGGAACACCAGUGGCGAAGGCGACUCUCUGGUCUGUAACUGACGCUGAGGAGCGAAAGCGUGGGGAGCGAACAGGAUUAGAUACCCGGGUAGUCCCUGUCUCUUAUACA
rnacentral:rRNA from 1 species